AUUAGCACAUUUUUGAAGUCGCCAUUAAUACAGACAAAGUUCUGGAAUAUCGACAUCUUGUUCAGGAAAGCUUUCUUAUUUCAGCAAGAUAACCACACUAUUUUUAUUACAGCAGAGCGGCUUUGCAGUAAAAGAGUCCAGGUGACCUCCCUGUAGACCUGAACUGACCCCGGCUGAACUUUUAACUACAGGAACUAAUCGUCUCAACUCCCACACACAUGCAGAGUGUGUGGGAGUGAGGUGAUGCAACGCAGCGGUCAACAUAUAUAUGUUUUUAUUGCGUUGCUACCCUUGAAUUCAAAAUGAGCUUUUACGUGUUGCAUUUUCGUUACUUUCAGUUUAAAACAGGCUUUAAAUAGUUACAUUACAUUUUACACUUCCACAAAAGUAACGUUGUAGCUGUUUUUUGUCAACACACUGAUCACCCAUUCCUAAAGCAUAACUGGGUCACUCUGGAGUUAAUAUAUCCAAAACACAAUUAUUCUGAACAACAUGGCAACAGCUGUACAAAAUGUAAAAUGCCAGCAGGCUUCUCCACAACCCCCUGACGUGACGGUAAGUGAGCUAAGCAGGCAGCCAGUAAAUCAGUCGGCCAGGUCGUGGCUCGAGAUGUUUAAACCGGCUAUAGGUUGUAAGCUGAAGGUUUAUGUAAUGCAGUAAGUGAAGGAUUUGACCCCAGCGCAGACAUAAACAACCACAGACGCAGUUUGUCUGCCCUCAGAGACACCAACCUCUGACCUUAGACAACACACUUUCUCUAAUCCACUUCACCUCACCUUGAAACCCCGCCUCCUAGGGGGGAUGUGUGUAUAUGCGUGUGUGUGUGAUUAAGGUAGCGCUCCUUCCAGCAGCUAAAGCAGCAAAUCCAAUAACUGGUCUCUAUCGACUGGCACACUCAUUAAUUAGGGCUUAAAACGGCUUAAUGCUCAGGCACUGCCCUACACUGAACACCCCCCCAAACACACACACACACACACACACACACUGCUGGCUUGCUGGCUCAGUUCUGCACACUGCUUGGAAUGGGUUUGGUUAGAAGGAAGCUUGGAUUCACUGAUCGACUGAUGGGAGGACAGAUAAACGGAUGUUUGGGUGAAGGGGAUCUGCAGCCGGUGAAAAACGAGGGCUGACAGUUUGUGGUGUCAGGUGAGGUGUCGGACUGAGCGGUGGUGGGGGCGAAGAGAAACCGAGGCUCCAAGCUCCAGCCGUCACCAUCCCCCUGCUGCCUGCUGAUGGCCGGGCUGGCAGCUCAGUGACCGGGGUUAGAGAAGGAGAAGCUUCCCCGCUGACCUGGUAAAAGGACACCACCUGCUGGAUCCAGCGCUUCACUGACGCACACACACAACGCACACAUCUACACUGAAAUAAUUCCCCUAAAAUACCUGAAAACAGCUUCCAGAGCAGUCCUGGUACUAAGUGUGUAUUCUGCUCUCCAGCAGACAUGACAGAAGCAAGUUUUGCUGGGAGGCAGUUUGCAGUAAUUUCCCCUGACAGCCCAAUAAUCAAACUCUGCUCACAAUCUGCACCUCGAACCACAGCACUCUCUAUUGACUGCUGCUAGUGGGAGCAUAUGUCCUAAAGGCAUGGUCCAAAGGGAAAGUGCUAACGUCACGUUAGAAAAACAGAGACACUGUAAUAGAUACGGAAGAUCUGGAAGCGGCGUUCAGGCCGCCCUGCAGUCGCUCCCGGCUACGGGAGCCAGCUGGGCCAUGCGGAGACAGAAACGAUGAGAAAAGAAGAAGAGGAAGAUGAAGGAGGAGGGAGACGACUGAUCAGCGCCAUCCAGAGGUAAGAACGCAAGUAUGAGUGAGGAACGAAAUGGAGGUAGUGUCUUAAAACGGUUGAUACUUCCUCGUGUUUGCUUUUGUAAAAAAUGUGAAAUAUAAAUUAAAUAUUUGAAAUGUUUGGAAAGUAGCUGCUAACAAACCACAUUCUGACUACCCAACUACCUACCUGUGAUCAGUGCUUUAUGAUAAAAACCUGAAAGGCAAGGGGCUGCUGUUAUGUGAAAAAUA